GACGUAGGGCGCGAGCGUUGUCCGGAUUUAUUGGGCGUAAAGAGCUCGUAGGCGGCUCAUUGCGUCAACCGUGAAAACCAGCAGCUCAACUGUUGGCUUGCGGUUGAUACGGGUGGGCUGGAGUUCGGUAGGGGAGACUGGAAUUCCUGGUGUAGCGGUGAAAUGCGCAGAUAUCAGGAGGAACACCGGUGGCGAAGGCGGGUCUCUGGGCCGUAACUGACGCUGAGGAGCGAAAGCAUGGGGAGCGAACAGG
rnacentral:rRNA from 1 species